rnacentral:rRNA from 1 species
UACGUAGGGUGCGAGCGUUGUCCGGAAUUAUUGGGCGUAAAGAGCUCGUAGGCGGCCUGUCGCGUCGGAUGUGAAAGCCCGGGGCUUAACCCCGGGUCUGCAUUCGAUACGGGCAGGCUAGAGUGUGGUAGGGGAGAUCGGAAUUCCUGGUGUAGCGGUGAAAUGCGCAGAUAUCAGGAAGAACACCUAUGGCGAAGGCAGCUCUCUGGGACGGUACUGACGCUGAGACGCGAAAGCGUGGGGAGCGAACAGG